AAAACUCCGGUGGUAAUGGAUGGGCAUGCGUUGUAUUAGUUAGUUGGUGGGGUAACGGCUCACCAAGACAACGAUACAUAGGGGGACUGAGAGGUUAACCCCCCACAUUGGUACUGAGACACGGACCAAACUCCUACGGGAGGCAGCAGUGAGGAAUAUUGGUCAAUGGACGCAAGUCUGAACCAGCCAUGCCGCGUGCAGGAAGACGGCUCUAUGAGUUGUAAACUGCUUUUGUACGAGGGUAAACGCAGAUACGCGUAUCUGUCUGAAAGUAUCGUACGAAUAAGGAUCGGCUAACUCCGUGCCAGCAGCCGCGGUAAUACGGAGGAUUCAAGCGUUAUCCGGAUUUAUUGGGUUUAAAGGGUGCGUAGGCGGUCGGAUAAGUUAGAGGUGAAAUCCCGGGGCUCAACUUCGGAAUUGCCUCUGAUACUGUUCGGCUAGAGAGUAGUUGCGGUAGGCGGAAUGUAUGGUGUAGCGGUGAAAUGCUUAGAGAUCAUACAGAACACCGAUUGCGAAGGCAGCUUACCAAGCUACUUCUGACGUUGAGGCACGAAAGCGUGGGGAGCAAACAGGAUUAGAUACCCUGGUAGUCCACGCAGUAAACGAUGAUAACUCGUUGUCGGCGAUACAAUGUCG
rnacentral:rRNA from 1 species